GCGGUAAUACCAGCUCUCCGAGUGGUAGGGACGAUUAUUGGGCUUAAAGCGUCCGUAGCCGGCUUAGCAAGUCUCCUGUUAAAUUCAGCGACCUAAUCGUUGAGCCGCGGGAGAUACUCCUAGGCCAGGAGGCGGGAGAGGCCGACGGUAUUCUCGGGGUAGGGGUGAAAUCCUAUAAUCCCGG
rnacentral:rRNA from 1 species